AGGGUGUAAACGCUGCAGACUUGGUGUUGGAGGCCCUUUGGGGGCAUUCAGUGCCGGAGAGAAGUUGUUAAGUCUGCUACUUGGGGAGUACGUCCGCAAGGAUGAAACUUAAAGGAAUUGGCGGGGGAGCACCGCAACGGGAGGAGCGUGCGGUUUAAUUGGAUUCAACACCGUAAAACUCACCAGGGAAGACUGUUACAUGAAGGCCGAGAUGAAGACUCUGCUAGAUUUUCAGAGAGGUGGUGCAUGGCGUCAGUGACUCUGAGUCAGAG
rnacentral:rRNA from 1 species